AACAAUUCGUCAAUCUGGAAGAGUACUCUGGAAGGGUCGUUUUAAGAGAGUCUGCGGCGGUGAGAUGCAGGCAAUGGAUGACCAGGGGAAUGGACCAGGAAGAAGCAGUCCGAAAUCUUUUUGAGAGUAGUAACUGACGGGAGCCCGCCGAUAAAAGGGACAGGAUAUGAAUGUAUCCGUGAAGAGUGGAAUCCUUUCGGGAUUCAAUUUAGGUGGUACCGCGCAGCAUGAGCUUCGUCCUAUUC
rnacentral:ncRNA from 1 species